GUAGUUCAGCAGUUCGUAGUGGUAUUUCACAGACUUACAGGAAGAAAAGAAGACCAUUAGUUUCUUCUUCCGGUUCUUCUUAAGGAAUGUAAAGAGCAGGAGGAACCUCUUCUCAGAGGGACAAACAACGUACCUCUAGAAGUGGUUCAAACGAGGAGAUACGAAAUAAGCAAAUGGACAUUUGCAGCUUCAUGAACCAACAUAAUUUGAUGGCGAGCACAGAAGUGGCUGGUGAAGCGAGCUAUAGAAACAAAAGAAGAGAUGGGUGACUACAUCCGCUCCUACUCUGUGUCCCAGUUCCAGAAGGCCUACAGUCUCCCUGAGGAUGAUGACUUCCUCAAGAGAAAAGAAAAGGCCGUCAAGACUGUUGUUGACCUCUCAGUAAGUUCCCCUGUCCGAGUCCCUGUGUAAGAGAAGAACGUAGGGUCACAGCCUCCAGAUAGCCCUUUGGUUUAGUCACAAACGCCCUGCUCCCUGAGGCUCCGUCUGCUGGGGCUGCCCAGGAGCUGGCCUCAGGUUGGGGUGUGAGGGAAGCCCUGCCUUCUGUGCCCGCUGUCUGGACCCGGCGUUCACGGGGAGAACUUGCCACGACCACUGCACAGUGUUUUUCUUA